rnacentral:lncRNA from 1 species
AAAAGCGGAGGGGCGAGUAAGAUUACUUUAAAAGGGUGCCCACCCCAGCCCUAGGCCCAUCUAGGACUGUAGGAAGACUCGACGUCUCGGUAGUCUCCGGGAGGAAGAAGCUGAAAGCUACCUCCUUCUGGAAGCUUAUCUCACAGGGCGCUGCGCUGCCAGGGGGCCCAACCUGCCCGGCGCGCGACGCUAAGAGUCACUUUUGGCGAGAGGACACCAAGAGCCGGUAGGAGGCGGCCGGGCCGGCGUAGCGAGCGGGUCCGGCUGGGCGGAGACCCCGCCUCGGCGAGCACGCCGGAAGUGGCCACCGGUACCGCCCCCGAGAGGAAAGGGGCUGCGCGAUGGCGGCCGCGCAGGGGGCCCUGGCCGAGCGGGAAGAUGGGGUGGCCUGGAGGCCCAGAGUCAUUCACAGGCCGAAUUGACCCUGUUCCCUGCGCAAUGCCGUGCCAGGAGCCUUUGUACAUGGAACCAGGAUGUGGUUGUUACAUUCCAGGAAUAACUGGGGAUCCUGCUAGGGAGACCAGACUAAACCUCAGGAAUAAACUUUGCGGUUCAGACAUAUUCUACUGUUGGAUCUAAAGUAUUCAUACUGUUGGGAGUUUAGAGGCGAAGGGGUUUAGGUAGGCUAGUCUCGUUUUUCUAAAGUUCUGCAUAAUAGUAGCUUCAAAAGUUAUUUUCUUUGGGAAGCUUCCCCAGAUUGCUAUCCUGCUGCCUCCAUACCUAUUAAGCUUUUAAGCUGUUCUUAUUUAGCAUAUAAUUCAUAAGCGCUCACUACUUUUGUGUCCUGUGUGUGAACCUUCCUGUAGGCAGGAACUCUUGUCAUUGUUAAACAUUACCUAAUGUAUGCGUAUGAAUGUGAAUUAAAAACAGAUUGAAGUGAUUAAAAGGAACUGAGCUAGGUCUGAAAUAGCGGGAAGUAUUUCCGUAAUAUGAAAAAUAAUGGCCUCUUGGGCUGGGGUUGUGGCUCAGUGGUAAAGUGCAUGCCUAACACGGGUGAAGCACUGGGUUUGAUCCUCAGCACCACAUUAAAAAAAAAAAAAUGAAAUAAAAAUAGUGUGUCCACCUACAACAAAAUUUUUUUUGAAAUGACCCCUGUGCCAGAUUUAUAUAUAUAUAUUCUUGACUCAUGCUGUUUUAUUUGUUUUGUUUUGUUAUUGUUGUUUGUAGUUGUAGAUGGAGAGAAUGCCUUUAUUUUAUUUGUUUAUGUGGUGCUUAGGAUCAAACCUAGUGCCUCAUGCAUGUUAGGCAAGCACUCUGCCACUGAGCUACAGCCCCCCAGCCUUGCUGUUUGUUUUUAUUUAAAUUAGAGACUAACAUUUUAAAAUCAGGAAACACACACAUAAUCUAAAUUCCCAACUUUUCUUGAAAAAUCAGAAGAUGUUGCUGUCAGACCUGCUGAGAAUCUGUAAUUUCUGGUACAGCAGAGAUGCUUAAGAAAGACACACGCGCACACACAGGCAUUCAGUAGAAAAUGAGCACCGCCUUUACUUUUUUCUCUCCUUCUUUUAUACAGCAUUGUUAAUUAAAACAAGGGGAAAGAAAAAACAUCCUUUUGGCAGCUUACUCCUUACAAGCAUAGAUAAACAUUCUCAGGAAAACUUUGUUUAUGGUCACAGUGCUCCGU